CAGUCGCCGCGGGAAAACGUAGGUGGCAAGCGUUGUCCGGAAUUAUUGGGCGUAAAGGGCUCGCAGGCGGUUUCUUAAGUCUGAUGUGAAAGCCCCCGGCUCAACCGGGGAGGGUCAUUGGAAACUGGGAAACUUGAGUGCAGAAGAGGAGAGUGGAAUUCCACGUGUAGCGGUGAAAUGCGUAGAGAUGUGGAGGAACACCAGUGGCGAAGGCGACUCUCUGGUCUGUAACUGACGCUGAGGAGCGAAAGCGUGGGGAGCGAGCAGGAUUAGAUACCCCCGUAGUCCCUGUCUCUUAUAC
rnacentral:rRNA from 1 species